rnacentral:lncRNA from 10 species
CAGUCUCUCCUAUGAAGACAGUGGGCAGGACAUCAGCCAGCCAACCCAAGUGGCGCUAAUAACAGUGAAUCAUAAGUUCACAUCCUUCUGUGAGCACUUACUCUACAGCCAGACACUCUUCUAAGUGCUUUGCGUUUGUUAUCUGAUUUAAUGACCACAGCAGCCCCAUGAGAAAGGUUCUGCUAGAGAUGGAAUGUUUGUAUCCCUUCAAAAUCUUUAUGUUGAAACAUAAUCUCCAAUGUGGUGGUAUUAGGAGAUGGGGCUUUGGGGAGGUGAUUAGAUCAAGAGGGUGGAGACCUCAUGAAUAGAAUUUGUGCCCUUAUAAAGGAGGCCUCAGAGACCUCUCUAAUCCAUUCUGCCAUGUGAGGUUACAGCAAAAAGACAGCCACCUUAUGAACCAGGAAGCAGGCUGCCCUCAGACUUUGAAUCUGCUGGUGCCUUGAUCUUGGACUUCCCAGCUUCCAGAACUGUGAGAAAUAAGUUUCUGUUGUUUAUAAACCACCCAGUCUAUGGUAUUUUGUUAUAGCAUCCCAAAUGAAGUAAGAAAGGCUCUGAAUUAAGAUUAGGAAAUUUAGUCACAAAUGGGCUUUAAAUAACCUUUCCCAAAGUCACAAAACUUAGUUGCAUACCUGAGUUUUAAUAUUACAUGCUGGCUCUUAUUGAGGGCAUUCUAAGAUAGCCCACCUCUGUCCAUGGCCUCACUUUAUCCCUUCAAGUAAGAACACAGACCAGUAAAGAAGCUACCAACUUGCUGCCUGACACUCUGUGUAUUUGGGGGAAUUUCUGCUCUUUGGACUGGUUAAGAAUGCAAAGGAUGGGCAGCAGUAGGCACUAGCUUUCCUUUUUGAUGCUACAAACAGUCUAGGACAGGAAAAGAAAUGGGCGUUUGCAUUGAGAAGACAUGACAAUCAGCAAAUGAGGCUUCACAGCUGAAACCAACUCCACUGAGAUUGAUGGAGUCUCGCUCUCUCGCCCAGGCUGAACUGCAGUGUCGCUAUCUGGGUUCACUGCAAGCUCCGCCUCCCGGGUUCACCACUCUCCUGCCUCAGCCUCCUGAGUAGCUGGGACUACAGGGCAAGGUUUUAAAUUAAGAAUUUUAUAUGCAUAUCACACAUAUAUGUAUUAUCAAUUGAAGAGGCCAUGUGUUCAAGAUGAUGGAGCUACCGAGUGGCAAAUCUUCCCUCAGCCGUGGACCAGUGUGUCACCAUAUAGAGAACAGUUACCCAGGAGUGUACUCAUCCUGUAUGAAAUUCGGGUCCAAAUUUCCUUGGUACUAAUAUCCCUGGAAGCAUCCCUCUGCCAAUAAUAACAUAGAUGUCGGUGGGCCAUGCAUGUGUGGAACCCCCAUAUAAUAUCAUUCAUUUAAAAAGGAAGAGACUAAGCCAAGAGGAGACUGGUGAAGAAUUGUUUAUUUUAGAUAACCAUUUGGGAAGUUAGAAUGAAGGAACUAGGUAAACUUGGUAGAACAACCUGUUUCGAUGUUUACUGCCACAGUCUACCAUUUAUUGGGCACCAUGUCUGUGAGAGACACUACAGCUAGAUGUGGCAGUACACUAACUUGAUUCCACAACACCCCUCCCAGCUAGGCACUGUUAAUUGUUCUUACAAAUAAGGGUGCUGGGCCUCCCAACAUCAAAUGAUUUGUUUAGAUUGACCUUUGGUGGCAGAGUUGGAAUAUAAACCCAGGUCUGUCUGAUUCCUCUAGCUGUAUGUUCCCCCUAAUUUAGCACUUGACAGUGGGUAUACAAGAAUUUUCUAAAGCCAGGAUUAUAUGGGGCUAACACUUAAAGAUGCCCUGGAACAAAUUAGUACAAAAACAUACUCAACUGCCUAAGGGAUGAGCUGGACAGUCAUGCCCAAGUUGCUCAUUUCUGCCAGUUUGCCUUUGCCUGCUUAUUUCUGGGUACAGUCAAUGGUGGGUUCUGCAUCUGCAGAUUCGACAAAAUUUAGAUGGGAAAUAUUCGAAAAAAUUGCGUUGGCACUGAACAUAUACAGAUUUUUUUUCUUAUUUUUAUUCCCUAAACAAUACUGUGUAACAACUACUUCAUAGGCUUUAUAUCAUAUUAGUUAUUAUUAGUAAUGUAAAGAUGAUUUAAAGUAUAUGGGAGAGUGUGUGCAGGUUAUAUGCAAAAACUAUUCAUGUAUACAUAUAUAUAUUUACAUCAGAGAAUUGAGCAUCUGUGGAUUGUGGUAUCCACAGGAGGUCUCAAAGUCCCCCAGAGGUACUGAAGGAUGAUUAUAUAUAUCCGAUAAUAUAAAAACUGCUCAUACUAUAAUACAGAGUUAAUGAGAAUGAAAUUGCAAAGUCUAUAAACAAUUAGAUAGGUUUUGUUUUAACAAUAGCAUGUGAAAACACAUAACAAAUAAAACAAACUGGCAGAUUUUUUUGUUUGUUUGUUUUUGAGAUGGAGUCUCACUCUGUCACCCAGGCUGGACUGCACUGGCGCGAUCUCGGCUCACUGCAACCUCCACCUCCUGGGUUCAUGCAAAGUGGCAGAUGUUUUAAACUAAGUUUUUUACAAUAAGCAAAAGAAAUGUAUUUAAUGUUCUACUGAAAAUAGCCAAUGUGUCCUUUAUGAAUAAUUGUGUAUAUUUUUACAAACACCAUUUUUUCCUUCCCUUUCUCAUCUUACAUUGAUUUUAUAAUCUCUUGAAUUGUUAGUUUGUGUAAUUGGCUGGUGAAAUAAUUAGUAAACUUAGGCACACAGUGAAACUCUUUAAAAUUAGGAACUCUUGUCUCUUAGCAAUGAUGCUAUGCAGUUCAGUCUUACAAAUUUUUCAAAAUUGUUGGAAUAGUAAUAGUGUUUGUUUUGUAAUUUUUGUCAAUAAAAGAGUCAUUGGCUAAAUUUUUUUUGAAAUAUUUGAUGUCCUUCAAGCCUUCUCUAAGACCAAUUAUUUUCUCAGUGGGUUAUUUGUGAGAUCCCUUCAUGAUGUAUGAUUUUUGCUUUCUGUUGUAUAUUCUUCCAUUUUUCCAUUUGAAAUGUAAUUUUCUUACAAUCAAAAGUCUUGAUCUUCAAGGUUGUAAUAUAACUUAAAGGAUGGUCUGACUAACUGUGAUGAUGCCAUUUCUGAAGAGAAAAACAUAAGAAUAGAGAUUUAGCUUCCUGUUUCAGGACUUUUCAAACCUCAAGAAAAUCAUUUUACUAGUUUGCUGGAAUAGAGAACCGGGCUUAUUUUUCAGUUAUCCUUGCCUUCAGAUAAUAUGAAUUACAAAAAGACUUCUAGGAUGGGGUCUUGCUGCCUAAAUCAAACUACUUUCUCCCUUUCUGGUUGGAUUUAUUUCAAAAUGUCUUUCUCUCAGGAUUCACUUUGCUAGAUGCGUACCAUGGAGAGAAUGCCUGGCAUUCAGCUUAAAUUGGGAUAGGCUUUGUGCUAUGACUACUCUCUGGAAGGCUUAGAAAAUAAUGUCAAUGGCCAUUUAAUAAAUAAUAUGGGGAGACUGAGGGAAAGCAAGACUUUCUUUCAACCUCUGAACAAAGUGGGUAGAGAGGUUGGGGAAUGGAAUGCCCAACAUCACCCCACUCCUGGGGAAAAGGACACGGGCUGUGAAGUGGCAGUUGAGAUACAGUGAAUGACUGACCUCACCUAUAGCCAGAAGAGCAUUGCAGCCCCUACAAGGCCUUGUGAUGUGGGCAAACAGUUGGCAUACCUUGAGGUGAACUGCAAGGCCACAGAGGUGGUUGAAUAGUGAAUAUUUGGGGAAUCUUUCUGACAUGAGCAUUUCUUGAGCCAUUAACUUAUUGCAAGAGCAUCAGAUGCCACCCUUAUGUUCAGGUAGAUAUUUUGUCUCCGAAAAGCACUCUGUGAGAAUAGCUCAUAGGACCGUACUGCUGUGUAAACUUCCAGGGACUCCAGUGGAGAUGGUCAUGGCAUCCAUGGCCACAGCUGUGAAGGAAACACCCAGGAUGCAUAGAUCCUGCAUUCAAGGAUGGAAAGAUAAUUCAUUAAGGAAUUUGGAAUUCUGUGGAAAUUCAGAAUUUUUAUAUGUAUUAGGGAUGAAUUGAGACAGAAAUUCACUCUUGAGAUAUUGGAACCUUUAAAAAAAUUUCGAACCACUUGCUUUUAUAAUAUAAAACAUAGGAGCUCAGUAAAAAAUAGUAGAGGAUAUGUCCCCAAAGCACCCAGCCUAAGAUCAGUAUCAAGAAGAGUAGUAUAUGCUAAUGGAGGCCACACUUAGCUCUGAUUCCCCUGAGAAUCAGGGUACAGAGAAACUGUGGAUGUCAUAACUCUAUGUCAACCACAAGAGUAGAGACAAUAUGAAAGGAUGCAUAACAGUUUAUUAAACAUGAGUAUUUUUCCAAUGCUUUAAAACACUUAAUUCUGCAGUUGCAUAGUAACAUAAGCAGCUUUAAUUUUCAUGAAUGGCCUUACAAGACAUGAGAAAAAUAAUUUUUGAAAUGCUCAAAUUGGUGGAAACAGAGGGAUUAAGAGUCAUCUUAUUGAAAGCUGGGGACAGGUGAUAUCCUUUAUCUAAUUUCUAGCCACUUGAUUUUGCAAUACUGAUGAUAAAAAACAAUAUAUGUUUAAUGGCAUAGUGAUAAAAUGAAUUGUGUUAAUUAAUCAAAUAGUAUGUCAAUUAUAGAUUUUAUAUUUAACAAAUCAGGGCUCAUGAUUUCUAUAUGAAUAUUUAUCAAUGAAUCAUAUGGACUACACCAACACAAACUUUAUUUCAUAUAUUUGGAAAAUAGACAUGUGUGUGUGUGUGUGUGUGUGUAUUUCUAUGUAUGUGUCUUUAUUGAUAUGAAUCUGGGCAGAUGAAUAAAUGAGUUUUUCAAAAAGCAGGUAGGAAUAGAUAAAAAAAAAAAAAAGAAGUGAUUGAAUGGUAUAGCACUGAGAACCACCCUACUUUAACUUCUGAUGCUAGUAAAUAAAAUAUAUUUGAAAUAUCUGGGAAACCUGCCAGAUGAGAAAUAUUGAAUAUAUUUUCAAGUUUUUUUAAAGGUUAGAUUGAGGCAUAUAACAAAACAUCCUCAAAGAAUGGGAAAAAUCAGUCAAUCAUAUGUAUGUGGAUACAGGAUGCAAAGCAUCUAGCUAUGAUUGAAUGACUAAUUUUCACACUUCCUCUCAUCCUAGGCAUUUUACCCAAUAUUUAGAAUCAUGCAGAUAGAGUUGAACUAAUAAGCUUUGUAGGAUUUAAACAUAAAUAGGUGAAAGAAGAGAUAAUGUCUGUGAAAACAUUUUGAGAAUUGAAAAUGACCACAUAAAAUAUUGUUUUUAAUUAAUGACUCUGUUAACACCAUUAACUAUUAAGUCAUAGGAUAGAAGACAAAUGGCAGUUUUCUUGGGAACUUUCUAAUAGAUUAGAUUCCUUUGUUCUGUUCUUACGUGCUGGGACCAUGCAAGUAGGGAUGAGAAAGGAUGCUGAAAACAAGAUUCUGAAGCCAUUUCUUUCUUUGUGGAUCUCCGCAUUUCAAUUGUAUUUUUGGCUAAAAUAUUUCCUUUGUGAUAAGUUUAUUGAAUAGAUUUGAACAUAAUGAUUAAGAGCGUAAAUCAAGAGAACAAAAUUUGUUUUUUAUCAGAAGUGAGAUCUUGGGCAAGCUGUGUAAUCCCUCUAAGCCUUAUUUCCUCACCUGUAAAAUGUGGGAUAACAGUAAUUGUUAUUAUUUAUUUUCUGUAGGGUAUAUGCUAGUGCUUUCUUACAUUAAUGCUUACUCUUCAGGAUUUAUUUUAAGCAGUGUUCUAUAACAGCCUUAGCAUCUUGUCAGCACAUAGAAUCCCUUUAUCCACAUAAUAUUGAUUGCAUUAAAAAUUAGAAUCAAUAAUUCUAUUCAGUAUAUUUGCUGUUCCUUAAAAUAUAGCAAGUCAUGCAAUAUGUAAUCAAUAUAUUCUUGUUCUACUUUCACACUCAUCUCUCCAAUCUGUCAGAUUGAACCACAGUAUAGUAGAAGAAGGAUGAAGUAAAGUGAGCAAAAUCCUUAUGUCUAGUCCCUGAAGAGUGCCCACAUGCAAGACAGCAAGACCUCAGUGUCUGGGAACUGUCUAUAUCUGUCAUUCUGACCACAUGUCACCUCUGCUGGCUGUCCUUUCAUUCUCCAGUGCUCAGCCUCUUCACUUACACUGUUUCCAUCUGCUUUCUCACCUCCUGCAGACUAGCUGCAGCUUGAAAAUCCCAUCUCCCUCAACUAUGCUUAUUCUCUCUCUAAGGGGCCUUACAUGACAUCAGAAAUACUUAAUGAUACAGUCUGAGUCAUACACAUUUGGAUUACUGUACCCUCAUUUUAGCUUGCCCAACAGUACUAAGUGAAUAUUCUUUUUGUAAUUAUAAGACUAUGAGUGAUUCUGGGCCCCUUCUAAAAAAAGAAGUCACACUCUAAGAUAACUUGCCAUCGUGAAUCUGCAUCUAAGCUUUGCCAUCACUUUUAAUGCAAGUGUUUCAAGAAGGAUGACAGGUAGAUAAGUAGGCAGACAGAGAGACAGCCAUAGACCCAGAUCUGGACCUGUGCAGGUGUAGAUAUAUGGUAUAGAUCCUAAAUAUAGUCAUGGUUAAAGACAGAGCUCUAGAGUAUCUCCUGCCUCAUCUGUCCCUGGCUAACUGGGGUGAUGAAGGCUGCUGUAUGAACCCAGGAAGGGUGGUGGGGGUGUUCCCUUUAACAUAGCCCAGCAGUGGUAGUCUUCUGAACAUAGGCACAGAAACAUUUCCAUCAGCUUACACAGUUCUUUAGACUCACAAGAAACUGAGUUUAUUGUUAAGAAUGCCAAUUUAUUACUCUAAUUGUAGCUAAAGCUAGGAAUGAGGAUGGAUCAGCCACAUGCAGAGGGCAUAUGAGUGAUCAUAUACAAGUUCAUGGUAAGGAAAACACCCAGAGAAUGUUUGCCAUAAAAAUACUUGCACCAUAUCGAUAUAGCCUGGGGUAAUUUCCCUUUGUACUUUAAGGAUAUUUAUAUCUCAAGGGCAUUUUGGUUCAACAUGGGGCAACUCUGAUGAGUCAUUGUAGCUGCAGGGCACCCAGUGCGGUCAGACAAGGCUGUCAUUGCACUUGCAUCACAGCUCAAGAUUUUCUUCUGCUCCACCUGGCUCUCAUGUGAACAAGAGCUGGCCCUUGUGUAUUACAUUUGCAUUUCCUGUAUACCUAUCUUGGCUGCUCUAUUCACUACCUUUUUAUACCUAUCCAUUCUUUUUCUCUUUUUUUCUAAAGUUUUGUUCCCUUUGAAGACUCUUGCUCUUAAAACAAGGAGUAUCCAAAUUCAUCACUUAAAAGUCAAUCUUCCUACAGGUUUCAUCAUGGAAUUUUUGAAUCUAUUCUGAUUGCACUAGUUAUCCUUUAGUGAAACUAUUUUUAUUUCACAGACUUAGAGUCUCUCGAACUUGGUAUGCAACUCUGGGCAAAAGCAUUUGAAUGUGUGUUUUUCAUUUUGAUUAAGAAAUGAGAGCACUUUGAAGAUACAUCCAUGAUGCUGGCUACCCGUAAAGAAAAUAAACUGAGUGUCAAUGGAACAGACAGAGAAUCAGAGAACAAAAGAAAGUCAAGAGAUUUACCCAAGAGAGAAUGGUAGCAGAAACAGACUCGGGGGCUUUAUGGAGAGAGGAACAUAUUAACUCCUGACCUACAAGAAAGUUGGGCAGGACUUCCCUGACAGACUUCGUACUAAACAGCUGUCCCAAGACACUGAAGUGAGGAUGGCCUCACAUAACUCCAGCCUGCUUUUCUCUAUUAAACACUGAAGCCCUCAUAAUCGUCUUUGGAGAAAGGCACAUACUACAGACUGUUUCUGUGACUCUGCAUUUAUUAUUUUUAGCUCUGAUGUUGGUUUCAUGGCUUGGAUCAAGGAGGGCAGCCUAGGUUGACUGAGAUUGACUGCCUGGCUAGCUGUGCUGAGAAGGAUCAUGAGGCUGUUUGGCAGCAACACUGCUAUCCUUACCUUAGAUGGAGGCAUUGGAAAACAGGUAAAUGAAACAGUGAUUUUAAAAUGAUAUAAUAGUGUUUAGUGGUUAGAUUUCACCCAAUUGACUUUUUAAAAGGAAAGUCUCAUUUACUGAACAAAAAUAUGUUGAAUAACUAUAUGUCUGGGAAAAUAGUAGGCACUGUAAGAAGCAAAAUAAAAGAUGACAUUAUGUUGGGCUGGGUGCAGUGGCUCACACCUGUAAUGCCAGCACUUUGGGAGGCUGAGGCAGGUGGACCACAAGGUCAGGAGAUCGGGACCAUCC